rnacentral:tRNA from 1 species
AUAAGCUUCAAUAGCUUUUCAUUUACACUGAAAAAAAUCUAUCAAAAUAUAAAUUAUUUC